UACGAAGGGGGCUAGCGUUGUUCGGAAUUACUGGGCGUAAAGCGCACGUAGGCGGAUAUUUAAGUCAGGGGUGAAAUCCCGGGGCUCAACCUGGGAAUUGCAUUCGAUACUGGAUAGCUAGAGUUCGGCAGAGGGAAGCGGAAUUUCCGGUGUAGCGGCGAAAUGCGUAGAUAUCGGAAGGAACAUCAGUGGCGAAAGCGGCUUCCUGGACCAGAACUGACGAUCAGGCACGAAA
rnacentral:rRNA from 1 species